AUCCUUGGUGAAGUGGUUAUCUCAUCCGCCUAACACGAGAGAGGUCCCAGGUUCAAAACCUGGUGGGAUU